GGAUGGAUGGCCGAGCGGUUUAAGGCACUGGUCUUGAAAACCAGCGAACCGAAAGGUUCCGUGGGUUCGAAUCCCACUCCAUCCGCCA
rnacentral:tRNA from 3 species